UUGGCGGACGGGUGAGUAACGCGUGGAAAACCUGCCGUAUACUGGGGGAUAACACUUAGAAAUAGGUGCUAAUACCGCAUAAGCGCACAGCUUCGCAUGAAGUGGUGUGAAAAACUCUGGUGGUAUACGAUGGUUCCGCGUCUGAUUAGCUUGUUGGCGGGGUAAUGGCUCACCAAGGCGACGAUGCGUAGGGGUUCUGAGAGGAAGGUCCCCCACACUGGUACUGAGACACGGACCAGACUCCUACGGAAGGCAGCAG
rnacentral:rRNA from 1 species